CAGCCGCCGCGGUAAUACGGAGGGCGCGAGCGUUGUCCGGAUUCACUGGGCGUAAAGCGUGCGCAGGCGGCCCGUUAAGACAGGUGUGAAAUCCCUGGGCUCAACCUAGGAAUUGCGCUUGUGACUGGCGGGCUCGAGUACGGUAGAGGGGGGUGGAAUUCCUGGUGUAGCAGUGAAAUGCGUAGAGAUCAGGAGGAACACCGAUGGCGAAGGCAGCCCCCUGGGCCUGUACUGACGCUCAUGCACGAAAGCGUGGGGAGCAAACAGGAUUAGAUACCCUGGUAGUCCACGCCCUAAACGAUGGGUACUAGCCGUUUGGUGCGCGAUAGCGCUGAGUGGCGAAGCUAACGCGUGAAGUACCCCGCCUGGGAGUACGGCCGCAAGGUUGAAACUUAAAGGAAUUGGCGGG
rnacentral:rRNA from 1 species